CUACCACCUGGCAGGCAGGAGAUACUAAGAUCAUGAAGGUGGUCUACCCAGGCGCAGGCUCAGCCAUUGCACUUCAAGUUGUAAGUUGACCCCGUGCGACUCCCCAAAUGUGGGACCUCGAUCAGCACUUGUGGUAGUGGGGACUCGUCUGCGCUUCUGA